rnacentral:rRNA from 1 species
AGUGAACGCUGGCGGUAGGCCUAACACAUGCAAGUCGAACGGCAGCACAGUAAGAGCUUGCUCUUACGGGUGGCGAGUGGCGGACGGGUGAGGAAUACAUCGGAAUCUACUUUUUCGUGGGGGAUAACGUAGGGAAACUUACGCUAAUACCGCAUACGACCUACGGGUGAAAGCAGGGGAUCUUCGGACCUUGUGCGAUUGAAUGAGCCGAUGUCGGAUUAGCUAGUUGGCGGGGUAAAGGCCCACCAAGGCGACGAUCCGUAGCUGGUCUGAGAGGAUGAUCAGCCACACUGGAACUGAGACACGGUCCAGACUCCUACGGGAGGCAGCAGUGGGGAAUAUUGGACAAUGGGCGCAAGCCUGAUCCAGCCAUACCGCGUGGGGAAGAAGGCCUUCGGGUUGUAAAGCCCUUUUGUUGGGAAAGAAAAGCAGCAGGUUAAUACCCCGCUGUUCUGACGGUACCCAAAGAAUAAGCACCGGCUAACUUCGUG